AUUGAACGCUGGCGGCAUGCUUUACACAUGCAAGUCGAACGGUAACAGGGAGCUUGCUCCGCUGACGAGUGGCGAACGGGUGAGUAAUGCGUCGGAACGUGCCGAGUAGUGGGGGAUAACGCAUCGAAAGCUGGGCUAAUACCGCAUACGAACUGAGGUUGAAAGUGGGGGACCUUCGGGCCUCACGCUAUUCGAGCGGCCGACGUCUGAUUAGCUAGUUGGUGAGGUAAAGGCUCACCAAGGCGACGAUCAGUAGCGGGUCUGAGAGGAUGAUCCGCCACACUGGGACUGAGACACGGCCCAGACUCCUACGGGAGGCAGCAGUGGGGAAUUUUGGACAAUGGGCGCAAGCCUGAUCCAGCCAUGCCGCGUGUCUGAAGAAGGCCUUCGGGUUGUAAAGGACUUUUGUCCGGGAGCAAAUGCUGGUGGCUAACAUCCACCGGAGCUGAGAGUACCGGAAGAAUAAGCACCGGCUAACUACGUGCCAGCCGCCGCCGUAAAAC
rnacentral:rRNA from 1 species